rnacentral:rRNA from 1 species
UACGUAGGUGGCGAGCGUUGUCCGGAAUUACUGGGUGUAAAGGGAGCGUAGGCGGGAUAUUAAGUUGAAUGUAUAAACUACCGGCUUAACCGAUAGAAGCGUUCAAAACUGAUAUUCUUGAGUGAAGUAGAGGCAGGCGGAAUUCCUAGUGUAGCGGUGAAAUGCGUAGAUAUUAGGAGGAACACCAGUGGCGAAGGCGGCCUGCUGGGCUUUUACUGACGCUGAGGCUCGAAAGUGUGGGGAGCAAACAGG